CGUAGGGUGCAAGCGUUAAUCGGAAUUACUGGGCGUAAAGCGUGCGCAGGCGGUUAUGUAAGACAGAUGUGAAAUCCCCGGGCUCAACCUGGGAACUGCAUUUGUGACUGCAUAGCUAGAGUACGGCAGAGGGGGAUGGAAUUCCGCGUGUAGCAGUGAAAUGCGUAGAUAUGCGGAGGAACACCGAUGGCGAAGGCAAUCCCCUGGGCCUGUACUGACGCUCAUGCACGAAAGCGUGGGGAGCAAACAGGAUUAGAUACCCUGGUAGUCCACGCCCUAAACGAUGUCAACUGGUUGUUGGGUCUUCACUGACUCAGUAACGAAGCUAACGCGUGAAGUUGACCGCCUGGGGAGUACGGCCGCAAGGUUG
rnacentral:rRNA from 1 species